CUGAAGUUGGCAUGAAAUGCCGAAAAACAUCGCUUAGCUCUCGUCGCGCGUCUCUCAUCGCACCCGCGGAACGACAUUCACACUCACUUUUACCCCCUUUUACAGGGCGGCUGUGAAAUUCUUAUUCAGUAUUAAGUCUCUGCUUUGCAGUUUGUGACAAUAACGGUAAAUAUUCAUAAUGGCGACUCGCGGAACUCUGAGGGACUCAAAUUGAAAGUGGCUGCGCCGGAUUCAGGGGCAUUUUUCAAACGAAGGCUAAGUGUUCUGGUCCUGCCAUCCUGCUCCCUGCUGCCUGCGGUUCGUCCUGUUCGGGUGUGGUUUUCUCCAGCUGGUCCUUGGUGGUGGAGCAGAUGUCUCCUCUCACAGUGAGGUGCCACACAAAUUCAGCUCCUUCAGCACCGCGACACUCUAUAAUAUCGGGAGAAUGCACUCGAAUGUAGAGAAUGGGAUCUAAUAAUAAUAAUAAUAAUAAUAAUAACAAUAGCAAUAAUAAUAAUAUCCAGAAUGGGUGUAAAUCUAGCUCCUCUUUGUCUUGUGAAUGGUUCUUCCUUGGAGACUAGCUCACCUGAUUCAUUAUAAAGGGAUAAUGCACUUGAGGGUAGAUUAAUAAUAAUAAAGAUAAUAAUAAUAACGGGCUAAAUCUAGCUGCUCAUUGUCUUGAUGACUGAUCUUCCUCGGAGAUGAGCCCACCUGGUCCGUUUCCUGUGUACGUGCUCUCUAUCGGCCUGCCUUUGUCUGUUCCUCAUCCUCGUGCCACACUUUCGACUUCCUGCAGACCGAGUCAGCAGGCGUGUCUACACAGCGGACCUCACUGCUCGCAUCGGAUGCUUUCUUCAAAUCUGACAGCUUUGGUUGACAGUCUACACAAUUAAUUAAUUUUUUUUUUUUACAAAUGGCCAGAUCAGACGUGUGUGUUUAAACAAGUUCUGUCUGUCUUAUUUCUGUCAUGACAUUGUCAACACUUUAUCGCAAGGAGACAGGAGAAAAGCACUCGAGACACAAGUCGUGUGGCCAGCUGUUGGAUUUGUAUUGGAUUUUGGACCAUGUACGAAUGGUCAAAAUCAGAAGGGAAAAUAUACAAUUCCUUGGGAUUAUUUGGUUUUUCAACUUUAAGAAAAAGAUUAGAUACUUUGCAGAUAUGUGUGGGGAAAAAAAUUGAUUUGGGUCAACUGUCUGUACGCAGUCUAUAUCAGUCUAAUGUGUACUAAUGUUACAUGAUGUCUGUGUUGUCAUGAUGUCACUAUACCUUGUGAUGAUUAUAAAAUCCAUAUAACCUCUAUAAUAUCCACAUUUUGCUUUUAUACUUGACAAAUUAAAAUUAUUUAAAGAUCAUGAAACACAUUGUGUGAAGUCCAAUCUAAAUUAUCUCAUUUUUCAAGGUCAUGGAAAAAGUGACUACCUGUACUACAUUUCCACAACAGCAGAGGGCACUCUACAUACAUAUUGCCAGCCAGUUGACCACACUGGGCUUGUUAGCUUUUCAUGACCUCUUGUAAACGUGAAGAAAAACCACUCAGAUCCCUUGACAAAACUAAAGCAACAGAAUUAUUUGUCAAACAAAACCCACAAUUUUCAAAGGACGUGGAGUGUUUUCAGAUUUUGAAACAGUAUCUAUAUUCAUUGCAUUACAAUCACUUAGCAGGACAAGAUUGCUUUUUAAAAUAAUAAGUUUCCAUUUUCUGAAAUUGUGUGGGGAUUGAGGAUGGUAUGUUUUCAUUGUGAGGGGAUUACCAAUAGAGACAACCAUGGGGAUUUAAAGUGAAAUAUUAAAAUGGAUAAUUGUGUGUUUGUUUUUGAAUUUGAAUGUUGGUCAAGAGACUCUUUGAAAAGGAAGACUGCGCGCCAAAGUCUAUUAUAAAAAUAAAUCAUUUCUGUUUUUUUUCUCUC